CAUGCAAGUCGAACGGAGGUAGUAGCGAUACUGCCUUAGUGGCGAACGGGUGAGUAACGCGUUGGUGACCUGCCCCAGAGAGGGGGAUAACAGACCGAAAGGUCUGCUAAUACCGCAUAGAUUCUCAGCAGUUAGAGGGGCUGAGAAGAAAGCCGAAAGGCGCUCUGGGAGGGGCCUGCGUCCCAUCAGCUAGUUGGUAGGGUAACGGCCUACCAAGGCGAAGACGGGUAGGGGACCUGAGAGGGUGGCCCCCCACAAUGGAACUGAAACACGGUCCAUACACCUACGGGUGGCAGCAGUAGGGGAUAUCGGUAAAUGGGCGAAAGCCUGACCCAGCAACGCCGCGUGCGCGAAGAAGGCCUUCGGGUUGUAAAGCGCUUUUCUGAGGGAUGAGGAAGGACAGUACCUGAGGAAUAAGUCUCGGCUAACUACGUGCCAGCAGCCGCGGUAAGACGUAGGAGACGAGCGUUAUCCGGAUUUACUGGGCGUAAAGCGCGUGCAGGCGGCUCGUUAAGUUGGAUGUGAAAGCCCCUGGCUAAACUAGGGGAGGUCGUUCAAGACUGGCGGGCUAGAGUGCAGCAGAGGAGAGUGGAAUUCCGAGUGUAGCGGUAAAAUGCACAGAUAUUCGGAAGAACACCAGAGGCGAAGGCGGCUCUCUGGGCUGCAACUGACGCUCAGACGCGAAAGCUAGGGGAGCGAACGGGAUUAGAGACCCCGGUAGUCCUAGCCGU
rnacentral:rRNA from 1 species